UACGUAGGGUGCGAGCGUUAAUCGGAAUUACUGGGCGUAAAGCGUGCGCAGGCGGUUUUGUAAGCCCGGGGUGAAAUCCCCGGGCUCAACCUGGGAAUGGCAUUUGGGACUGCAAGGCUGGAGUGCGGCAGAGGAGACUGGAAUUCCUGGUGUAGCAGUGAAAUGCGUAGAUAUCAGGAGGAAUACCGAUGGCGAAGGCAGGUCUCUGGGCUGACACUGACGCUCAUGCACGAAAGCGUGGGGAGCAAACAGG
rnacentral:rRNA from 1 species